rnacentral:rRNA from 1 species
GAUGAACGCUGGCGGCGUGCUUAACACAUGCAAGUCGAACGGUGAACACGGAGCUUGCUCUGUGGGAUCAGUGGCGAACGGGUGAGUAACACGUGAGCAACCUGCCCCUGACUCUGGGAUAAGCGCUGGAAACGGCGUCUAAUACUGGAUAUGUGACGUGACCGCAUGGUCUGCGUUUGGAAAGAUUUUUCGGUUGGGGAUGGGCUCGCGGCCUAUCAGCUUGUUGGUGAGGUAAUGGCUCACCAAGGCGUCGACGGGUAGCCGGCCUGAGAGGGUGACCGGCCACACUGGGAUUGAGACACGGCCCAGACUCCUACGGGAGGCAGCAGUGGGGAAUAUUGCACAAUGGGCGAAAGCCUGAUGCAGCAACGCCGCGUGAGGGAUGACGGCCUUCGGGUUGUAAACCUUUUUGAGCAGGGAAGAAGCGAAAGUGACGGUACCUGCAGAAAAAGCGCCGGCUAACUACGUG